rnacentral:rRNA from 1 species
UGAGUACGAGAUGCUACGGCAUCGAAGCAGUCUAUGUCAUACUUCCAAGAAAAGCUUGCACUGUCAUAAACAAAGAAUGCCUGUACCAUAACCGACACAGGUGGGUAGGUAGAGUAUACUAAGGGGCGCGAGAUAACUCUCUCUAAGGAACUCGGCAAAAUGACUCCGUAACUUCGGGAGAAGGAGUGCCUUAUUUCUAAGGUUGCAAUAACAAGAUCCAAGCAACUGUUUACCAAAAACACAGGUCUCCGCUAAGUCGUAAGACGAUGUAUGGGGGCUGACGCCUGCCCAGUGCCAGAAGGUUAAAGAAGUUGGUUAGCAUUAGCGAAGCUGAUAACUGAAGCCCUGGUGAACGGCGGCCGUAACUAUAACGGUCCUAAGGUAGCGAAAUUCCUUGUCGGGUAAGUUCCGACCCGCACGAAAGGCGUAAUGAUUUGGAUACUGUCUCGGAGAGGGGCUCGGUGAAAUAGACUUGUCUGUGAAGAUGCGGACUACCUGCACCUGGACAGAAAGACCCUAUGAAGCUUUACUGUAACUUGAGAUUGAAAUUGGACUUUAUUUGCGCAGUAUAGGUGGGAGGCGUUGAGAAUAAUCUUGCGGGAUUGUUGGAGCCAUCAGUGAGAUACCACUCUUGUAAUGUUAGAUUUCUAACUUUGUAUCAUUAUCUGGUCAAAGAGCAGUUUCAGGCGGGCGGUUUGACUGGGGCGGUCGCCUCCCAAAGGGUAACGGAGGCGCACAAAGGUUUCCUCUGAACGGGUAGAAAUCGUAUCUAGAGUGUAAAGGCAUAAGGAAGCUUGACUGUGAGACCUACAAGUCGAGCAGGGACGAAAGUCGGUCUUAGUGAUCUGACGGUGCUGAGUGGAAAGGCCGUCACUCAACGGAUAAAAGUUACUCUAAGGAUAACAGGCUGAUCUCCCCCAAGAGUUCACAUCGACGGGGAGGUUUGGCACCUCGAUGUCGGCUCAUCGCAUCCUGGGGCGGUAGUCCGUCCCAAGGGUUGGGCUGUUCGCCCAUGAAAGCGGUACGCGAGCUGGGUUCAGAACGUCGUGAGACAGUUCGGUCCAUAUCCGGUGUAGGCGUUAGAAUAUUGAGAGGAGCCUUCUCUAGUACGAGAGGACCGAGAAGGACAUACCUCUGGUGUACCAGUUAUCGUGCCAACGGUAAACGCUGGGUAGCUAUGUAUGGAGUGGAUAACCGCUGAAAGCAUCUAAGUGGGAAGCCCACCUCAAGAUAAG